AUGAUACUGCUUAACAAAUCAUGGGAAAAUGUUUUUUUUCUUUUUUUUUACCUUAAAUUAGAUGAACAGUUGUCACCCAUUUGUAAAUGUCAGCAAAGUGUAAGAAGCCUUGAAAAUAAAGCACAUGAGGCCCUGUCUCACUUCACAGAGCCACUGGAUGUAAAGGGUGCUGAAGAAGAUGGAAAAGAUCAUGAAAACAAGAAUCAGAGUAGCUCAGAUGCUUCUGAAGAUAGAGACCUUGAAAAUGUAUCAGACAGUGAAAAAGAAGGGAAGAAGGAAAAGAACUGCCCUCCUAAAAUGUUGUCACCUCAGCAAGAUGAAAUCCUAGCUACAGUAACUUUUGGUGAGUUAGAGGGCUCAUUCAAAGGAAAAAUUACACUGUGUGGCAAGCCAGACUUUUCAGAGUCCAUUAGCUUGACCACUGGAAAAAUUUCUGCAGAAGUAAAAUACGGCUCUUUUAAUAUGAGAGUAGAAGUUAGGAAUAUUUCUUUCUUUGAUUCUGAAACAAAAGUUGUGGAUGAAAAAAGGAAAGGUUCAAAGAACAAAAAACACUGUCAUGAAGGACAGUGCCAGAAAAGUCAGUGUUCAAAAUGUUCAAAGUACCAGUGUCCUUCAAGUGACCACUCAGCAGAACACAAGGGGAAAUAUAAAGGAUCCUCUAAACGAAAAGUUCAAACUGCCAUCAAUGAAAGUGCCUCCCUGGAAAUUGAAGCAAAAGACAUUCAAGUGGAAUGUAUCAGCAGAAAGAAGACUCUAAAGGUUAACAUCAAAGCUGUUGAGCAGGCACAGAGCAAACCAUGUAACAGGGAACAUGAAGAUACAUAUUGGAGUGAAACAGAUUAUUCUGUAACAGAGGCACUGUGUAACACAGAUUGCGAGUCAUCAUUUAGCUUUCAUGAAAAAGCAGAUUAUACGUUCCCAGAUGGAUAUACACUUCUCCCUCCACCUAAAGAAUUUGCUGACUGUGACGAAAUGCACCUGGAUACAAUUGCAGAAGGCAUAUCUUCGUACCCUGUUAAUAGCAAAAAGGAAUCUGACAGCCUCACUACAGCCUUGAGUAUUUGGGGGGAAGAGAAUUAUUUCUGUAAACUUAACACAGAGGACUAUGAAGACCACACCAAUGAAAAGGAAGAUUUUUCAAAGGAUAAAGUAUUUUUCUCAAAAAUAAAUAAUACUAAUUGUCUUGUAGCUAUUAAUACCUUGCAUAACCCAAACAAUGGGAAGGAAUGUAUUAGUAAAAGCAGUGUAAUAGGUGCAGAAAGAAAUAACUGUGACAUACACAGAGACACAGGGCCAAAGACAGCAAGAAGAAAAUCUUUCCCAGAUACUACCCUGGAUGUACUAUCACCAGUUCACCCUAGAAGGGAUUCUGGCUUUUAUUCACUGCCAUCCUUAAAAGUAUUGCUUAAGGAGACCAAAGCAGGAGAUGUCUGUAACAGGAACUCGCAUAUUCCUACCGAAUGUAAGGAACUUUGUAAGUGUCCUGACUUGACCUCCUCUCUGACAGAGCUUUGCAAGUAUCCCGACUUGACCUCCUCACUGAGAAAUUUGAGAAGUCUUAAGUCUUCAUAUCAGUAUGCUUUCACAUCAUUUGAUCAUAAUAUUACCAUUUAUCCAUCUGAAGAUGUCUGUCUAGAUGGCACUUGUUUACUGAAUGACUGUGCAGACUUUGUGGGGCAAGGUGAAGAAACAGAAGAAACAUUAAUGGAGAAUCUUCAUUCCAGUGGUGCUGUACAUGACAAAACAGACAACAGCCACAAAGAGCCUCUUGGAAACCUAGCCAUGUGGGAAGAAGACUCUGAGUCUACUGAAGCUUUAGAUAAAGAGAAAUCAGAGUACAACCCUAUAGAAAAGCAUGUUGAAUGGCAGAAAAAAGCUCACCUGGUACAAGUGUCUCCACUUUCUACAAGCCCUUCAGGUGAAUUCAUUAAUGACAAAGAAAGUACUAAUUAUGCAUCUACAGAAAGCAUCCCAAAACGAUGUUCAGUUUUACAGUUAAAUGUUCACCCACCUUAUGCAGAGUCUGAGGCAACACAUAAAAGAAGACGGUCAGUACUGACUGACUCUCCAGUGAUAACUGGAGAAGUAGAAGAAAGACUUGUCCAAGGUGACCCUACAUUGAUGCCUGAAUGUUUUGGCUCUGCAUUAAGGAAAGAACCUAACCUUACCAGCAGUAUACAAGAAAAAUCCUUGCUGUCAUCCUUGCUGUUAGAUCCCAAGGAGCAUCACAUGAAUAAAGAAUUGGAAAGCCUUUCUGAGGUACAGGACUUACCUGGGGAUGUCCUUGUUAAAUCUGAUUGCCAUAAUAAUUCAGCCCAGGCUUCCAAAUUAUCUACCCCUUCAGUUUGCACAGAAAAGAAAGAGAAUUUCACAGAACAUUCAAACAUCAAGCAAAGACUGGAGAACUUUUGCAGUAAACAGUCAACUGAUGACAGUUUAAGGAGAGAGCCUGGAGCAAAUCAACUACCUCUGUUAGUCAAGUCCAACUUUGAAGAAAUUGAGUCAAAUUUUGAAAUAAAAGAAGAUUAUUAUGAGAAUGCAGAUGUCUCCUCAUCAUCAGUAAAACAGAUUAAUCAGAAAGGUAGGUGCUACAAGACUUUUCAAGUUAGUAUCACUUACACACCUUUUGUGUAG
ensembl:lncRNA